rnacentral:rRNA from 1 species
UGGGGAAUUUUGGACAAUGGGCGAAAGCCUGAUCCAGCAAUGCCGCGUGUGUGAAGAAGGCCCUCGGGUUGUAAAGCACUUUUGUCCGGAAAGAAAUCCUUGGCUCUAAUACAGUCGGGGGAUGACGGUACCGGAAGAAUAAGCACCGGCUAACUACGUGCCAGCAGCCGCGGUAAUACGUAGGGUGCAAGCGUUAAUCGGAAUUACUGGGCGUAAAGCGUGCGCAGGCGGUUUGCUAAGACCGAUGUGAAAUCCCCGGGCUCAACCUGGGAACUGCAUUGGUGACUGGCAGGCUAGAGUAUGGCAGAGGGGGGUAGAAUUCCACGUGUAGCAGUGAAAUGCGUAGAGAUGUGGAGGAAUACCGAUGACGAAGGCAGCCCCCUGGGCCAAUACUGACGCUCAUGCACGAAAGCGUGGGGAGCAAACAGGAUUAGAUACCCUGGUAGUCCACGCCCUAAACGAUGUCAACUAGUUGUUGGGGAUUCAUUUCCUUAGUAACGUAGCUAACGCGUGAAGUUGACCGCCUGGGGAGUACGGUCGCAAGAUUAAAACUUAAAUGAAUUGACGGGGUCAUAGCUGUUUCCUA